rnacentral:rRNA from 1 species
AUUGAACGCUGGCGGCAUGCCUUACACAUGCAAGUCGAACGGUAACAGGUCUUCGGAUGCUGACGAGUGGCGAACGGGUGAGUAAUACAUCGGGACGUGCCUAGUAGUGGGGGAUAACUACUCGAAAGAGUGGCUAAUACCGCAUGAGAUCUACGGAUGAAAGCAGGGGAUCGCAAGACCUUGUGCUACUAGAGCGGCCGAUGGCAGCUUAGGUAGUUGGUGGGAUAAAAGCUUACCAAGCCGAAGAUCUGUAGCUGGUCUGAGAGGACGAUAAGCAACACUGGGACUGAGACACGGCCCAGACUCCUACGGGAGGCAGCAGUGGGGAAUUUUGGACAAUGGGCGAAAGCCUGAUCCAGCAAUGCCGCGUGCAGGAUGAAGGCCUUCGGGUUGUAAACUGCUUUUGUACGGAACGAAAAGCCCCGGGUUAAUACCCUGGGGUCAUGACGGUACCGUAAGAAUAAGCACCGGCUAACUACGUGCCAGCCGCCGCCGUAA